ACCUGUCAGAACCUUUCACAGAAUCUCAUCUCUUCAUCCUUCCACCCAAACAACAUCAUCUCUGUCCAAAGUAACAGGAAACACGUGAGACCAGAGUCCAGGGUCUCACUGAACCCUCAGGACCCCAGAGAAGAAGCUCACUGCUCUCCUGGGAGAUUCAAACUAAUGUCCCAGAAACAGAGAGAUGUUUGUUCCAGAGCUUCAGACUCUUCAGUUCAGUGUGAACCUGAACCAGGUGUGACCGGUUCCACAGAGCAGAAGAGCAGUUCUGGGUCUGGAUCAAACUGAACCAGGUUCUGAUCCAGAGUGAAAAGACGUUGUUGGAUUGUUGGACUUUUGGACCAAUCACAGGAAGUAGAGACAGAAUUAAACAGUAGAAGAAGAGAAGGACGAAGAGGAAGAAGAAGAAGAAGAAGAAGAAGAAGAAGAAGAAGAAGAAGAAGAAGAAGAAGAAGAAGAAGAAGAAGAAGAAGAAGAAGAAGAAGAAGAAGAAGAAAAAAUGAAGAAGAAGAAGAAGAAGAAGAAGAAGCUGCAGUCUUCACUGCCGACGAUAAUGGUGCAUUUGAACUGGUGUGGAGUACGGUAGUACUGUGGAGUACUGUGGAGUACUGUGGAGUACUGUAGUACUGUGGAGUACCGUGGAGUACUGUGGAGUACUGUGGAGUACUGUGGAGUACUGUAGUACUGUGGAGUACCAUGGAGUACUGUAGUACUGUGGAGUACCGUGGAGUACUGUGGAGUACUGUGGAGUACUGUGGAGUACUGUAGUACUGUGGAGUACCGUGGAGUACUGUGGAGUACUGUGGAGUACUGUAGUACUGUGGAGUACCGUGGAGUACUGUGGAGUACCGUGGAGUACUGUGGAGUACUGUGGAGUACUGCUAGUGAUACCAUCAAGAUGUUACCAUGAUGCAAACAGAUGAAGCUGAGAGCUGCAGGUGGCAGUGGAGUGCACGUGAUGCUCUGGUUGUUGCAGGAGAAACAUGAUGUCAUGAAGAACCAGGACAACCAGUGAAGAUCUCAUCACGUGAACUUGUGAAGACAUGUUGUCGCCCUGACGUGAAAACUGACGAGAAGGUUCAACACAUUGUGGAUCCUUCAGUAACUGGGUCCACAUACAUCAGCACAUGAUGUGCUCUGUAUCCACAGGUGGAACUGAAUCCAGACCAUCGGACUCCACAUCCUCCUGGAUUCUCCUCCUCCUCUUCCUG